rnacentral:rRNA from 1 species
GACGAGCCUGACAAACGUUAUUCGGAAUCACUGGGCUUAAAGGGUGCGUAGGCGGUGCGACAAGUCGGGUGUGAAAUACCUCAGCUUAACUGAGGAACUGCACUCGAUACUGUCGCGCUAGAGUAAGACAGAGGUAAGUGGAACUGAGGGUGGAGCGGUGAAAUGCGUUGAUAUCCUCAGGAACACCGGUGGCGAAGGCGACUUACUGGGUCUUUACUGACGCUGAUGCACGAAAGCUAGGGUAGCAAACGGG